GCCGGGCUAGGUGGCACAUGCCUAUAGUCCCAGCUACUUGGGAGGUUAAGCCUGGAGAAUUCCUUGACUACACUCUUGGGCUGUAGUGCACUAUACCGAUCAGGUGUCCACACAAAGUUCGGCAUCAAUAUGGUGACCUCCUGGGAGCGGGGGACCACCAGGUUGCCUAAGGAGGGGUGAACCUGCUCAGGUGAGAAAUGGAGCAGGUCGAAACUCCCAUGCUGAUCAGUAGUGGAAUUGCACCUGUGAAAAGCCACUGCACUCCAGACUGGGCAAUAUUGUGAGACCCUGCCUCAU
ensembl:misc_RNA Metazoa_SRP Metazoan signal recognition particle RNA